rnacentral:rRNA from 1 species
UACGUAGGGUGCAAGCGUUAAUCGGAAUCACUGGGCGUAAAGGGUGCGUAGGCGGGUCUUAAGUCAGGGGUGAAAUCCUGGAGCUCAACUCCAGAACUGCCUUUGAUACUGAGGAUCUUGAGUUCGGGAGAGGUGAGUGGAACUGCGAGUGUAGAGGUGAAAUUCGUAGAUAUUCGGAAGAACACCAGUGGCGAAGGCGGCUCACUGGUCCGGUACUGACGCUGAUGUGCGAAAGCGUGGGGAGCAAACAGG